rnacentral:rRNA from 1 species
UACGUAGGGGGCUAGCGUUGCUCGGAUUUACUGGGCGUAAAGGGCGCGUAGGCGGUUCGUACAGUCAGACGUGAAAUUCCUGGGCUCAACCUGGGGGCUGCGUUUGAUACGUGCGGGCUUGAGUGCGGAAGAGGGUCGUGGAAUUCCCAGUGUAGAGGUGAAAUUCGUAGAUAUUGGGAAGAACACCGGUGGCGAAGGCGGCGACCUGGUCCGAUACUGACGCUGAGGCGCGAAAGCGUGGGGAGCAAACAGG